rnacentral:tRNA from 1 species
GGGCUCCUAGCGCAACGGUAGCGCGCCUGCAUGGCAUGCAGGAGGUUGCGGGUUCAAAUCCCGCGGAGUCCA